AGAUGACACUGCAGGAGGCCUCAUGCAGGAAGCAACACAUUGCAGCCUAGCUCCAGGGCCAAACUCUGAUGGCUCUGGGUCAUCCUAAAGGACCAUGGCCCCAAAAAACAAGCCUGCGUUGUACUUUUCCCUUCAGCACCUCGUUAUUAAAGGCAACUUCUCUUUUCAGCUCAGAUGUUAAAUAACACCGAUCCCAACACUGAUCCCUGAUGAAUGCCACUCACCACCGGUCUCCACAUGGACAUUGAGCUAUUGGCUGCAACUCUCUGAGUACAAACAUCCUGCCAAUUCCUUAUCCAGACAGUGGUCCAUCCACCAAAUCCGUUUUUCUCCAGUUUGGACACCAGGAUGUGGGACAGUGUCAAAUUGCAGACGUCCAGAAAGAGUGAUGAAGCAUUGGCACAGGCUGCCCAGGGAGGUGAUGUCCCCAGAGGUGUUCAAGAGACGUGGAGAUGUGGCACUGAGGGACACAGGCACUGAGAGACCCCUGCUCAUCUCCUGAAACCAGAGGGAGACCCCUGGGACAGGCAGGUGGCUCUGAGGACCGUGGCUCCUUUCCUUGGCCCAGCAGUGAGAUGAGGGCAGUGUCCUGUGCACACCUCUCAGCGUAGGUAUCAUCAACAUGCUGCAGACGGUUCUGAACUAACAAUAAGAGAAACAUGCCAGGUCCCAUUUGCAGGGCUCUUGAAUGCUUAUUCUGCUUGGAUGCUCGUUCCCAGCAGCUUUGCACGUCAUUUUGCUUUAGUGCUCCGCUUCACGCCUAUGACAGGUUGAAACAUCAAGGGGUUUAUUAUCUGCACAGCUCCUCUGUUUAUGCAGAGAUUGCGAUUUUGGCAAGAAAUAGCUUUUGCUGGUUCUUUGCCAGGGGAGCUAUUACAAAGAGUGGUACAGCCUCAUCUACUCGAAGUAUAGAAGCAAUAGAAACCUGGAGGGUUUUGCAGGAGCUGCUAGCUGCAAAGGAACCAGCCAUAAAACAGAAGAUUUAGGAAUCGUUCCACAGUGCAAACCUUCACCUCCAGCCUUUUCCAGAAGCUCUCCCAUACACAUUAGCUCAGAGCUGCCUGCUCCCAAGGAUACAGACUUCUAAGCACAGGCACAAGCCAGGAUGCAGGACAGCUCCUCCACCUUCAGUCACUGAACAAGGCUGACUUAUGACCCUGUGAUGCAUGCAGCCCAAGCCUGGGGGCAGACAGAGAGCAGGAGGAGGGAGCUCCCCAUUGAUCUCUUCCACCUGCAGUACCAAGCCCAUUUCAGCACCUUGGCCCCUUCCAUUCUCUGGCUUGAUGCUGAGGAAUGCUGUACAGAGGCCUCUGUGCUCAGUAGUAUCUCUGAUGCUGGAGAUGGUGCUGGAUGCGGGGAUUUUGAUACCCUUCUCCCGCUACUUGACCUGGCACAUCACAUACUUGCCAUCAUGAGACAGAUAAUGACACUGACCUACAAGUUACACAAAAAUAAAGACUACAGGUAUGUCUGGACAGAAUGCACCGCUGCUUCUCUAAGAGAGCCUGAUGGAAAUAGCAUCUCCAGGCAGCUGUCCCGAGGCUGUGUGCCACCAAAGCUGUGUGCCAGAUGGGGCUGCCAUGCACUGACCAACAGAGAUGUAACCCCAGAACAGUGCCCUCUCUCUGGGGGAAUUCUGCAGACUGACUGAAUAUCUGCAGAGAGUGCAGCCCCCCCACCAUGAGCUCUGCACAACACCACGGAGCCCCAUGCAGCACAUGCUGCCAUUACCUGCAGCACAGCUACCUCCUGGGAUACUUUCCUCUAUGCUCGGAUAAUUCUGCCUCUUCUGGAAGUUCUGAGAUGGGAGACACCCUUCCCUUGGUGCGCCCUGCUCAGCUCCACAGCAGCUUGGGCUCCCCUCAGGGCUGCAGCCAAGGCUGGGGGGACAGACACCUUCACCAGGAGCCAUUCACCAGCUCCAGGAGCUUGGGCUUUCCACCAGCAAGAAAGCAACAUUUUCACCCUUCGGAAGUUAGAUUGUAGCUCUCGCUGCGAUGUGCCACCGCAUCGCCUUAUAAGAGCCAAAAGCCUCUUGAUGGUUUUGUUUGUUGGGUUUUGUUAAGUUUUAUCUUUUGUGGCAUACAGCAUCAGCAUAAGGAGUUUAAGCCUCUGACACCCUGGAAGUCCCGGCACACGAAAGAGAAGACACAAUUAAUGAGAACCUAAUAUCACAACAACAAUACUGCUGUUCCUUCUGGACAGUUAACAGCUGAAAGAAAAACGUAUCACCAGAGCGUAACAGACAUUUCUUGAAUCAGGAAAAGGUCAUCCAGAUCCUUCCUCCUGGAUGUCUUAUUUCCUCUUGAAGGAUAUUUAAUUGAUUCUUAAUUUGUCUCAGGAACCUCGUUAGGGAGCGGGCGACGGAAGCUUUGCUCUGCGCAUUGCACGUGGCCUGAAGUCUGCUCCAAUUCAGCUCACGUUGCCUCAGAAAGAUUCUUUUAUAAGGUUUAAAUCACAUUUUGAAGUUCCUCGUUUGAGCAAUGUUUUAAUCAAGCACUUCAAUUAAAAGAUCUGUUAUG
ensembl:lncRNA